AUUGAGACUGAAAACUAUACAAUAUUCGUAUUCUCUUUCAAACAACUGUACAUUUUUAGUAUGUGUAGAAGUCUUGAAGUCAACGGGUCGGCACUCCACUCUGGAUCAGUAAAAAAUCUUACUACAAAGCGACACGGGAAAAACUCGUCCACCCUUUACUUCUAUGUAUUACUUAUGUAUGAAUUCCGGUCAGGUGCUCGACAAAAAACCAUUGCUAUCUCGUCUGGUUUCCAAGUAAAGUUAAAUAUAUUCGCUUUCUUGUUAUUUUUCAGUUAAAGAUUGUAUUCCGAACCCUGUUCUUAAUACUCGUAAAUCCAAAAGUGAGAUCUUUGAUUAAAAGAAUUUCCUCUGCAGAUACAGAAUAAUUUGUACGAACAAGUUAAAUGCUUCGGUUCGGACGAGCUAACUGAACCCUCACGUCGACUCGCUCGAUACUAGGCGACUCGUUUCGCGCACAGGUGGAAAAAAGGGGGCGUGGCGGCAGAUCGCUGAGGUACACCAACGAAGACGCACACUACUGCAGCUGAGGGCCGAGUUGAGGGGCGUGGGCGUCUUUUGUCACACUUAUUUGAGUAUUUAUGAUACAGAAUACUCUGGGCAAACAAGUUAAAAGCUUGGGUUCGGACGAGCUGACUGAACCCCCACGUAGACUCGUUCGACACACACCGACUCUUUUCACUCACAAGGUGUGGCGGCAGAUCGCUUGAGGUACACCAACGAAGAAGCACACUACUGCAGCUGAGGGCCGAGUUGAGGGGCGUGGGCGUCUCUUGUCAUCCUUUAUUUUUUAGUAAUUAUGGUGUUGCCAUUUAGUUCGAAUAUAUUUGUAACUGGUGUCAUUAUUAAGAACAAAAUGCUUUGAUAUUGUUGGGAUUUCGGCGUUGUUAGAAACGAACCGACCUUGGUUCUUGUGACUUUUUUUUCUCUUAUAGGAAAUUUCAGCGUUUUUUUGGUGCAUGCGGUUUGUAGGGUUUCGGCGUUGUUAGCUAUUCUGGGAUACAAUUCAUAUUAAAUUCCUAUUGCAUAUUAAUUGAAG
rnacentral:misc_RNA from 1 species